rnacentral:rRNA from 1 species
UACGUAGGGUGCAAGCGUUGUCCGGAAUUAUUGGGCGUAAAGAGCUCGUAGGCGGUCUGUCGCGUCGGCUGUGAAAACCCGGAGCUCAACUCCGGGCCGGCAGUCGAUACGGGCAGACUGGAGUUCGGCAGGGGAGACUGGAAUUCCUGGUGUAGCGGUGAAAUGCGCAGAUAUCAGGAGGAACACCGGCGGCGAAGGCGGGUCUCUGGGCCGAUACUGACGCUGAGGAGCGAAAGCGUGGGGAGCGAACAGG